GACGAACGCUGGCGGCGUGCUUAACACAUGCAAGUCGAGCGGUAAGGCCCUUUCGGGGGUACACGAGCGGCGAACGGGUGAGUAACACGUGGGUGACCUGCCCUCAGCUCUGGGAUAAGCCUGGGAAACCGGGUCUAAUACUGGAUAUGACUCCAUGACGCAUGUUGUGGGGUGGAAAGCCUUGUGCGGCUGAGGAUGGGCCCGCGGCCUAUCAGCUUGUUGGUGGGGUGANGGCCUACCAAGGCGACGACGGGUAGCCGGCCUGAGAGGGCGACCGGCCACACUGGGACUGAGACACGGGCCCAGACUCCUACGGGAGGCAGCAGUGGGGAAUCUUGCGCAAUGGGCGAAAGCCUGACGCAGCGACGCCGCGUGAGGGAUGACGG
rnacentral:rRNA from 1 species